UGGGGAAUUUUGGACAAUGGGCGCAAGCCUGAUCCAGCAAUGCCGCGUGCAGGAUGAAGGCCUUCGGGUUGUAAACUGCUUUUGUACGGAACGAAAAGCCUCUCUCUAAUACAGGGGGGUGAUGACGGUACCGUAAGAAUAAGCACCGGCUAACUACGUGCCAGCAGCCGCGGUAAUACGUAGGGUGCAAGCGUUAAUCGGAAUUACUGGGCGUAAAGCGUGCGCAGGCGGUUUUGUAAGACAGUGGUGAAAUCCCCGGGCUCAACCUGGGAACUGCCAUUGUGACUGCAAGGCUGGAGUGCGGCAGAGGGGGAUGGAAUUCCGCGUGUAGCAGUGAAAUGCGUAGAUAUGCGGAGGAACACCGAUGGCGAAGGCAAUCCCCUGGGCCUGCACUGACGCUCAUGCACGAAAGCGUGGGGAGCAAACAGGAUUAGAUACCCUGGUAGUCCACGCCCUAAACGAUGUCAACUGGUUGUUGGGGAUUUAUUUCUUCAGUAACGAAGCUAACGCGUGAAGUUGACCGCCUGGGGGAGUACGGCC
rnacentral:rRNA from 1 species